rnacentral:lncRNA from 1 species
UGUUUUUGGAUGAGGUUUGCAUCCAAAUAGGUGGACUUUGAGUGAAGCAGAUUACAGUCUGUAAUGUGGGUGACCCUCCUCCUUGAUAUUCCAAAGACUAACGGCUCAAGGCAAGAGAGAGUUCUUCCAGCAGACUACCUUUGGAUUUGGACUCCAAACCUUCCCUGGGUCGCCAGCCUGCCAGCCUACUCUGCAGAUUUUGCACUGACUAAGCCUCCACAGUCCUAUCAACCAAUUGUUUAAAAUCUGUUCUUCCCCCACUCUGUUGGUUCUGUUUCUUUGGAGAACCCUAAUUAAUACACCAUGAGACAUUAUGCAACUAUGAGUUAUGUCAACACCUAGGGACCUGGAGAAUUGCCAUGAUGUAUAAUGUGGAAAUAAGGCAAUAUACAGAGAUACAUGUGAAAGAAGCAAUAGCCAAGAAUGUGUGUGUGUAUUAGCAUAUUAUGUAUAAGCAUAGAGAUGUGUGGAAGAAAAUGUGACACGUUUUAACAGUGGUAACCUGGAAGGAGAGUAGGGAGGUAAAAUAAAAAACUAGAGUAAACUAGAAUACUCAUCAGAUAAUGUUAAUGAAAAGUGUAGAUGCGAGAAUGUAAUCAGAUUCAGGGGCACCCGUGUGGUUCAGUCAGUUAAGCGACUAACUCUUGGUUUCGGCUCAGGUCAUGAUCACAUGAAUCUGAUGUCCCCUGGGCAUUUAGGACUGGACAAAUCCUUAAAUUUCACCUCGAGACCUCAAACCCAGAACUUCAUUUCCUGGCCCACACUGUGGUAGCAUCCUCCUCAGGAAUGGCCUUGGCUCCUGGAGGCGAAGACAGAUAGAAGGUAUAGGUGUCCAUGCAUUUAGGUUCACGAGUCCCUCGAGUUGACCAAUCAGCUGUGGCCAUGGGGAGGCAGGAAACCCGAGUGUGUGACACAGGUGGACUGUGGAAGGAGGGCAGCGACCCUCCCUUGGUGUGCCGGUCCACGUGCACACUUGCUUCUCCUGGGGCAACUCCUCUUCUUUUUCUCUUUUCUUUUCUCUGUGCUUUUUCCUCUUUCUUUUCUUCUUCUCUACUUUCUCCUGAAGCCCCAAGGCGAUUAGAACGGAGUAUACAGUCUCAGUUGCAACAAACUCAUUUCAGUUUACUACUUUCCUCCCUCAAGGCCCCAGUUAAAGUCCCAGAGAAUCUCAAAACCAUGAAUCUCACCUCACGGACACUCCAACUGCCCUUACCCCCAUCUCUUGCUAAUUCCAUUAACAUUGUUUCAAGUUCAAACACAUCUGGGUUUUCCAUAAAAACAAUGAACGCAGCUCUCAUCCUGAACCAGAGGGAAAUUCCAGGGCCUUGGCUAGCUCUGCAUCUGAGUGGCAUGCCCCGAAGUCUCCCUUGCACCCUACUGGAAAGGUCUGUGGGUAUGGUACUCAUCACAAUCAACAGCCGGCAGGGCUGGUACGCGGAGCAAACUCCAUUCUGCUCAGAAUGAAAGAAUCCAGCACCCUGAAACAGAACAUCCUUCUCAGAGCCAGAUGCUCAAACAUAAAGGCAAAGAACAAAGGCUGUGAAGGAGGAGGAGGGCUUGCUUGCUAGGAUCUCUAAAUAAAACCAGGCCUGAAGAGAAAAGGGCUUGUGAUACAGAUAAUAAAAAAUGAAGAAAGUCUGAUUUUAAAAUAAGCCCCAGAAGCAGAGCAAAUAACGAAGGCGUAUGUGCCCUUAGCUCAUCUUAGCCUGUUUUGAUUAAACAGUCUAAUUUCCGUGGAGCCACAUUCUACAAAGAAGAUGCAUAUUUAUUUUUUCUCUGUGAUAGCACAUGGAUCCCAAAAUUCCAGGUAAAAGAAGGGUCUUUGUAAAAGAAGUUAAUCCAGUCCACUUGAGUUAAUGGCUGCAGAGAGGUUCAUGGAAUGGGUGAUUUAGUGUUCAAUAAUGAGUUGUCGAUAGGGGCAAAGAGCCACUUUGGUCAAUGAAAUCAUAGCAACAGGCCAGGGUUCGAUUGAUCUCUCAGCAAUUAGCGGUAACAGUGCUAAAAAGCCAAGAAAGAGACACAUUUGACUGGAAAGGUGUCUCCCCUGCACUGAAUGGAAAACCUGGCAGCAGGACUGUGUGAGUGGUUCGGAGGAUGUUGGCACCUGGGGUGAGCACCCAUCACGGAUCCCCUGUAAUGUUGAUCCUCCGGCGGUGGCGAUCUCAGUUUGAUUUAUGAAUCUGUAC